GACGAACGCUGGCGGCGUGCUUAACACAUGCAAGUCGAACGGAGUGGCGAACGGGUGAGUAACACGUGGGUGACCUGCCCUGCACUUCGGGAUAAGCCUGGGAAACUGGGUCUAAUACCGGAUAGUGUGGGAUGGGCCCGGGGCCUAUCAGCUUGUUGGUGGGGUAAUGGCCUACCACGGCGGCGACGGGUAGCCGGCCUGAGAAGGUGGACGGCCACAUUGUGACUGAGGCACGGCCCAGAAUCCAACGGGAGGCAGCAGACGAGAGUAUUGCAGAAUGGGCGGAAGUCUGAGGCAGCGGCGCUGCGUGGGGAAUGAUGGCCUUCGGGUUGUAAACACCUUUCACCGUCGACGCGGUAGAUGGAGAAGAAGCACCGGCUAACUACGUGCCAGCAGCCGCGGUAAUUC
rnacentral:rRNA from 1 species